UACGUAGGGGGCAAGCGUUGUCCGGAAUCAUUGGGCGUAAAGAGCGUGUAGGCGGCUCGAUAAGUCCGCUGUGAAAGUCCAGGGCUCAACCCUGGAAGGCCGGUGGAAACUGUCGGGCGUAGAGUCCGGAAGAGGCGAGUGGAAUUCCCGGUGUAGCGGUGAAAUGCGCAGAUAUCAGGAGGAACACCGGUGGCGAAAGCGCUCAUCUGGCCCAAUACUGACGCUGAGGCGCGAAAGCUAGGGGAGCAAACGGG
rnacentral:rRNA from 1 species